rnacentral:rRNA from 1 species
AUAGAUGGAUCCGCGCUGCAUUAGCUAGUUGGUAAGGUAACGGCUUACCAAGGCAACGAUGCAUAGCCGACCUGAGAGGGUGAUCGGCCACACUGGAACUGAGACACGGUCCAGACUCCUACGGGAGGCAGCAGUAGGGAAUCUUCCGCAAUGGGCGAAAGCCUGACGGAGCAACGCCGCGUGAGUGAUGAAGGUCUUCGGAUCGUAAAACUCUGUUAUUAGGGAAGAACAUAUGUGUAAGUAACUGUGCACAUCUUGACGGUACCUAAUCAGAAAGCCACGGCUAACUACGUGCCAGCAGCCGCGGUAAUACGUAGGUGGCAAGCGUUAUCCGGAAUUAUUGGGCGUAAAGCGCGCGUAGGCGGUUUUUUAAGUCUGAUGUGAAAGCCCACGGCUCAACCGUGGAGGGUCAUUGGAAACUGGAAAACUUGAGUGCAGAAGAGGAAAGUGGAAUUCCAUGUGUAGCGGUGAAAUGCGCAGAGAUAUGGAGGAACACCAGUGGCGAAGGCGACUUUCUGGUCUGUAACUGACGCUGAUGUGCGAAAGCGUGGGGAUCAAACAGGAUUAGAUACCCUGGUAGUCCACGCCGUAAACGAUGAGUGCUAAGUGUUAGGGGGUUUCCGCCCCUUAGUGCUGCAGCUAACGCAUUAAGCACUCCGCCUGGGGAGUACGACCGCAAGGUUGAAACUCAAAGGAAUUGACGGC